UUCACUGUUUCUGUUAUAAAUGUAUUAACCAUAAAGCCAGGAAAACAUAUACUGUAAAUAAGCAACAGGGCUCAUCCUUUUUCCUUAAAGUCCAUAACUAUUGUUACUAAUUCCAUUAAUCAAUGAUAACUUCUGCUCAAAAUUAACAUGACACAAGACACAAUUUUUUGAAGACUUGCCAACUUGGGCAUACACUCUGCAAAGGGUUCACCACCCGUGAUAGUCUUUUUCUGCCACUUGAGAUUUUUCCACCACUGUAGCCCCCUCACAGAUUUCAGUGAGGAAGUGUUUGGGUGAAAUAUUCCUGACGUUAACAUGUUGUAGGUGGCUGGGGUGGUGUCGGAGUCCGUGAUCUACAGCUGCACUCAAAUUGCAGUUCUUCACGGCAGUGGAAUCACGCUCCUGGACCUUGCUGACCGGCCAUUUUUGAUAUCUCCAGGAGUGACCUGGAAGACGUGCACCUUCAGGGUGCAGCCUCAGGAGGCCCCCGUGGACUCGAUUCCUCACCGAUGUUUCCAGCUGAAGCGUUGCGGGAGAUCGAAGCAUCGAACAGUGGCAUACCUCCGAAUAGCUACGUUUUACUCUGAAGAAUCAAGCUACAAUCUGCUGAAAGGAUCCAGUCCUUGGGCAGCAUGAAUACCCAUAGUAACAGCAAAACUCAGCCAUUGGCUGAAUAACUUGGGAGAUUGUGCCAUGUAAUUGGUUAAAUCAAAUUAAUCAAUGAUACAUUGUAACUGGCCACAAUGGAUAAUCCAGGUUAAUAUGAGCAUGAACAUUGGAACGGUUACUAUGAGUGUGAGUGUAAAAGCACGUGGGCAAAUUUCACCUACUUUUUAAAAUGCUACUCCACUGAUGAUCAGGAACAUUACUGCACAACGAAGAAAGCAUUAACAUGCAGAGUGGUUUCUGAAUCAUUCAGCAGUCCAACAGAACUGCAUCACUUUAAAAUGUAAUUUAUUGAGUUUGAUCUUGUUAUGUAAUAAUAG